CACUGGCAAAGGGUCUUCUGAGUUUCUUUGAGAUAGUAGCUCCAACUCCUUCUCUAAGGCAAGACCCUUCUUUUGUUCUCGUUAUUGUUAUUCUCUCAUACACAUCACUAUGGAUGACGCUCAUCACACAUAUUUUAAUACAGUCUUCAGCCCCCUCAGUCCUGGCUCCUGACUCCUUGAACUUAAGACCCAUACACUUACCUUGAUCCCACCAUUAUUUAGUACAUGCUGAAGAAUGAAUAAAUAUUCAAGAGAAUCAUAAUAUAAGAUAGAGAAAAUGGACUGAUUCCCAUAACACGGAGGGAGAGUGAUGUUUCUUCGGAGUUCGGCAUCAGUUGUAUUAAGUGGAUGGACGUAGGGCAGGGAAAAAUGGGGUAGGCAUAAAAGGACACAUAGAAUCCUUCCUUAACAACAAAUGUAGAAAUCCGGACAUAAAUUAUAUAUGCCAUCGAAUGCAGAUGUAUGGAGGAGGGAAAGAAGGAGGACGAGGAGGAAGAGGAGGAAAGAAAAAGAUUACAAUGAAUUGGGGGAAACUGUGAAGGAAACAUAGAAGAGUAUUGUGUUUAUAUUCUCUAACUGGAAACAUAUCCAUAUGCAGUCACGUUGCUCUUACAAUUAAAGAAAGACAGUUUCAGGAAGUAUGUGUAAACUUACUCAUCUGUAUCUUAAGGGUUUCAAACAAGCAGAUGUGGGUCAUGCAGAAAGCAACUCUCUCUUUUUAAAGCCUUUACCAAAGAAUAGAUGAGGGAAAAAAUAUUGAAUCAAUACCAUUUAAGAUGUUUGGCUUCUAAGUAAAUGAGAGGUCAAUUGUGUAUCUCUCUGCUGUCACUGUACUUGUUUCUAAUGUUUGUGGUGUGAGUUAAUUCUAGGAAGCUACAAAAAUAUGGAGAAAGAAGCAAGCAGCUGCUAACUGGAUGAAAGACAUAAAAGGGAACAGAUAAUCGGCUUUAAUGUCUGAUGCAUCGGAUUUAUUUAUGGACUCUGUAGUUAUUUAACAACGUUUGGAUUAGAAGGCCUACCUUUUAUCUUCAGUUCAUGAAGCACAAUUAAACCCGUGUUUAAUUCUCUGUCUAAUCACAUGUAAAAAUGGUGCGUAACAACAGGAUCACAGCUUCUCACUCCACCAAAGACUUCACAAACCCGUGGCCACCGUGAAAAUAGAAACAAUGGAAUCAACCCGCAAGUGCUUAUUGUGUUUCACGGUCUCUCUCGCCUUGUAGCCCAGACGGAACUGCUGGAACUAAACCUCCUGACUCAGCCUCCAGAGUGCAAGUCUGAAUGCAGGCGAUCGUUUGAAAGUGAGACACCCUAGAAGACCCAUUACCAGGCAUAGAUUGCCAACUUCUAUCUUGAAUUCAUCAUUAAAUUCCCUCCAAAAACAAUCUGUCUUCUCAAAGUGAAAGGUUACACAGAAAACAGCCUCUCCCUAAGCCCAGCCGAAGCAGAGGAUGCUGUAAAGCGAAGAGAGAAACUAGGGGAGGCCUCCCUUGUUCCCUGAGACAAGCAGCUUGUAACAGCUUCCAGCCGGAACUCACUAAACAGGCCCUUCACCAGGGACACACUGUCGCCCAGCUCUGAGACGGACUUAGUUUUCCCGAUGUGCUCGAGGCUCUCGAUGGAAGAAAACAACCCGUGAUCUCUUUUGGAAAUCCUCACUUGGGCUGUUUGAAGCCACCAUCAAAAAUUAAGCUUUUUCUUCAACCUCUACAGAGAUGGAGAAACCACGUGAUUACUGCUUCCUGAACAGUGUCCUGGGCCUGGAUUUUUCUAAGGAAGUUAUCACUGAAGCAAAUUUCCAGGUCAUCAGAGUACACAGACCUUUAAGGUCACAUGCAUGCCUGGCUCUGGAGUCCAUCCCCAGAGACCGUGUGACAGAGGUCCUGAUGAGCACCAAUGAGUUAACUCACCUCACUUAAACACACAGUGGCUCAAAUAGACUUAUCAUAGCUGUUUAUGAUAAAGAAAAUAAGAAUCUGAUAUUGUAAUUUUAAAGACUUCAGUGGUAUCUAACGGGUAUAUGUUUUGAAACAUUUUACGAUGUUCACAGUACAGUAUUUCCUACAGUCAGAGCAAAGAUGAAAACAUGGGUUUAUUUUGGGUUCCUUCCUAGUCUUGCUAAAUGUCUGGGAUAUAGUUGCUUAGGCGUAUAUACUAUACUUGAUACAUUUUUUUCAUGUCAGUCUAAUUUGGGCCUCUUCUCAACCAAAUUCCCAAUUCAAACAUGAGUAAAAGCUCAGACAUUGACCUUAUAUGUAGGUAGUGCAUGCUUGUAGUCUCAGCACUAGGGAGGCUGAGGCAGGAGGAUCACUGCAAACUUGACCCAACACAACCAGCUCUCAGACAGCCUGGGCUCUAAACUGGGGCCCUGAUUCAAGAAGAGAAGUAAAAAGACAACAGAUGGACACAUACUGUUAAUAAUAAAUAGGCUGAUAUGUUAAUUUAAAAAGCAGUCAUAGGAAGAAUAUUCUGUCUGUCCUUUACAGUUAUUGUCAGAUCGACAGAAACAGCAUCUCUGUUUGGGCUGUUAGUCUUAAUUUGCUUUCUGAUACUAUGAUAAAGACCAUGGCCAAAGCAACCUGGGGAGGUGGGGGGGGGGGUUUACUUCAUCUCACAGCUUAAAGUCCAUCAUGAGGGAAGUCAGAGCAGGAAAGUAAGGCAGGAGCCCAGAGACAGGCACUGAAGCAGACGCCAUAGUGGAACACUGCUCAAUGGCUCUCUACCCACAGUUCGCUCCCGUGGCUUUCUCUUCACCAAGGGCUACCUACCUAGAGCUGGCACUGGCCAUGGGGGUCAUGGCCCUCCCAUAUCAAUCAUUAAUGGAGAAAGUGGCCCCCACCGACUUGCUUAUAGGCCAUUCUGGUGGCAGCAAUCAUUCAGUUAAGGAUGCCUUUCUCCUAAUGACAUGAGCUUGUGUCGAAUUGACAAGAAUUAGCUAGCACGCUGCAGAAUGGCUUCUAAAGAACAAGUCACCCCCAGCAUCUAAUCUGGUUGCUAUAGAGAUAAAUAUGACCUCACCUCUCAUGGGCCUCUGUGCUUGAGAACCACCCCCCAGGCUGGUCUUCCUGACUAGACAUCUUCAGCCAGAGAGUUGCCCACUCAUUUCUGGCUCCAUCUCUUCAUUGGUGUCUACCACAUGACAAGUCCUGAGUGAAUAUUUGCUAUUCCUCUCCAAAGAAGUGAUAAAAUGUUUUAUGUAAACAUAGCCAUCACAGCACUGUGUCAACUCUAAGUAUUGAACAUUAUUUUCUGAAUCUCAAAAGAAAAAAAUAGAAGACAAUGACAUUUCUUUCCUACUAUAAUGUCAUAACAUGAAUUCUUGAAGUUACUAAUAUUGUCAGUGCAGCCUUACCUGUAUUUCCUCCACCCCUCUCGUUCCCUUCCUCCCCUCCCCCUCUCCCCUCUCCCCCUUUCCCCCUCCCCCUUCCUCUCUCUUUCUCUCUUUCACAGGGUCUUAUUGUUUAGCCCAGGCUGGUGUAGACCUCAGUCCUGCCUCAGACUCUGGAGUACUUCAUGCUGAGUCCUGAAACUACAGGUGUGAUCUAACACAACUAACUAAACAGAAUCAUUGUAUUUACCUUAUCAGACAAGUAUGCCUUAAGGAUUAGUGUUAGUUCGAAGUGGUUGACACUCCACAAAUGCUUAAUAAGGAAUAACUUUUACUCUAGUAUUUCAAUCUAUUAGUUUGUAGCCAUAUUUAUGUCCGUGUAGCUUAUCCAGUCUCCAAAACACUUUGACUCACAUCAUCUACUAGACUUUUCCUUUUGUUCUGUGUGGUUCUGCUCAUGGGCACCAUCUCUAGUGUAUGGAUGAAGACAAGAUACUCAAACACUGAGCAGACUGCAGUUUGUUUGGGGGUGUUCCGAAUUGAAAUCAGACACCCACCUCCUACCCUUAUACCACCUUCUGUCACUGUCCCAAGAUGUUAAAUGAUUUAGCAAAAUUCUAAAGUUUAAUGAACUGGAGCACACUGGGAGAUUUGCAGCAUCCAGGGAUUGAUCCAGAGUCUCCAUCACUUGUAUCUGGCAGAGGUGCUCUUCUUUGACUCAACCAAACAGAAGGCAAGAAUGUAGGGCUUGGGAGAGGGUGGGAAAAGGGGGAGGGGAGCAGAGUGGGAUAAGUGGGAAAAGUUGAUUUCAGUUCUGGAAACUGACUGCCUCUAACAUUUGGGGAAUGUUUAUAAAGUUCAUGUGACUUGUUGCACAAGGGUUAACAGAACCCUACAUUCAGUAGGUGCAUACAGUCAAGUACAGUGUUCCUCUAUAAGCCCCCUCCCCAUCAUUGUCACCUAGUUCUAUUGGUAAUACAUAUCACCAGAUGUUAGUGACAUCUACUGAAUGAGACUUCUGGAUGUUGACUAUUAUGCAUGUUUGUGGGCCUAGUUGCCUAAGGAGGGGUGAACCGGUCCAGUCCCACACACAUCAUGUUAUAAUUUUAGUCCAGCCACUCUUGAGAGAGAGAGAGAGAGAGAGGGAGAGAGAGAGAGAGAGAGAGAGAGAGAGAGAGAGAGAGAGAGAGAGAGGUGUCAAGGACACAUUGGACAUGAAGCUGGUAUUCUGCCAGUCACUAAAGAAUGUACUUUGUCUUCAAAGAAGGAAUUUUGAGCAGCAGGCCUCUAGUUGAGGCCAGUGCAAUAAGCAGACAUUAGUCACUAAAGAUGAUAGGAACCCAGAUGAGCAAGGAGAGCAGGGCAUGGCAAGGCAUGCCUCUAACACAGCACCCAGGAACCUGAAGCAGAGAGAUUGGGAGCUGAGUUCAAUGUCAGGGGCCAAGCUGGGCUACAAAGCCAGAUCUAUUUCAGACAAACAAACCAACAAAUACAACAUAAACAUAAACACGUGCCGAGGGUACAGAGCUUUAUGGGAUGGGGGGUGGGGGGAGGGUUCUUAGUGUUGGUUUGGUACUUGUGCAGGCAUGAUGUGAGAUUUUGAAGAAUCUUGGAUGUAAAGAAAACAGGUAAGCUCUUUCAUCUUUACAGCCCUAUAGAGGCUGAUAGCCAAGGCGAAGAAGACUUCAGCAGAGGUAACAGAAGAGGUUUGUGAGUUUGGAAAGUUCCCAGAUGAACUUGAUGUUCUGGUCAAGAGCCUCUCUGCAAGCAAGGUUCUAAGAAACCUGGGUAUUAUGACAGGAACUGCUUAAACCCUUUCUGUGUGUCAAUGGUCAAGAGAACGUUUUGUGAGAGGGCCAGCAUCAGGCAGGAGGUAAGAGUGUAGUAUGGAGGAGUUGGUAUUGGAGACAAAAAAAGAGGGACACUAGAUAAAGUUUAAAGGAGUAAACAUAACAGGACCUCAUCCUUGAUUGAAUCUUGGGGCAGGGAGAGUUUAGGGUGGCUCCAAGUUCCUGCUUGACUACAACCGAAAGGGGUGGUACUGCCACUGGGCAGAGAGUAUCUACGAGCCAGCCUGCUGUCAUUUCAAAACUUUACUUGGCAAGAUCUGCUCAAUGAGUCAUCUAUACAAGAGCUCCUUUAGCCUGAAAAAUGACCAAGGAAGCAAUAACAUGAUGCAAAAUUCAAGCUACCAGUUUCUGCACACACAAAUUCUGUUCUCAUGUCUGGAUUUUUUUUUUUUUUUUUUUUUUUUUUUUUUUUUUUUUUUUUUUUGGCAAAAGCCUAUUUACUGCUUUGAGAAUCCUAACCAACACUGUCAGCAUACGAAUUCCUAUCUUUACACCUUGAAAGGUAUCUUUUAAGUACAUGACAGUAAGAGUUCUCCCCAUCCUUUUAUUUAACCUUAGCAACGCCUACUUCCUAUAUGUCAAAUUGUUAAUUAAAAAGAAUGCAGCAUGCUAUGGUGGUGCACAUCUGUAAUCUCAGGUCUAGGCAGACUGAGGCACAGUAUGGCGAGUUUGUAGUCAGCCUGGGCUUCACGGUGGGGGUGGAGGGAGGCAGCAAUGAUGUAACCUAAAAGUCAUUGUCUUUUUCUUUUUAAAAAUUUUGUGUAUAUAUUAUUCUCUAAUGCUCAGGGGGAUAUCAUUAAGUCUCUGUUAUUUGAAAUAAAAGAAAAUACCAAACAAUUUUCCCAUUUUUAUUCAAGCGUGCAUCUACGUGUGUUGCCGUGUGUGAGUGCAUGUGUAACAAAGCACAUGUGUGAAGGUUGGACCUCCCUCCGGGUUGGUCUGUACCUUCCACCUUAUUUGAAACAGAGUGUCUCUCUUUGCUGUUCACUGCUACAUAUGCCAGGCCAGUUGACUGGGAGCUGAUGGGAGUUCUCCUGUCUCCACCUCCCAUCUUGCCUUAGGAAAAGUCAUCAAACAAAAUGUUGCCUUUCUGUGGCAAAGUGUCUGUCAGGCUGAGCUAAAAUAGAGUCAGUUUAUCUUUCCCUCUCCUGAGAGCUAGUACUUUAGAAUUUUCUCUUAAGUUUUCAAGCAGU
rnacentral:lncRNA from 1 species